rnacentral:rRNA from 1 species
UCGAGAAUCUUCCGCAAUGGACGCAAGUCUGACGGAGCGACGCCGCGUGUAGGACGAAGGCCCUUGGGUUGUAAACUACUGUCACGGGUUAUGAAUGGGCCCAGGUGAAUAGCCUGGGUUUUGACGUAAGCCCGAGAGGAAGCACCGGCUAACUCUGUGCCAGCAGCCGCGGUAAUACAGAGGGUGCUAACGUUGUUCGGAAUUACUGGGCAUAAAGCGCACGUAGGCGGCCAGAUCAGUGUGAAGUGAAAUCCCACGGCUUACCCGUGGAACUGCUUUGCAUACUGUCUGGCUCGAGGAAGGUAGGGGAGAGCAGAACUCCUGGAGGAGCGGUGAAAUGUGUAGAUAUCAGGAGGAAUACCAGUGGCGAAGGCGGCUCUCUGGUCCUUUUCUGACGCUGAGGUGCGAAAGCUAGGGUAGCGAACGGGAUUAGAUACCCCCGUAGUCC